AGCGAACGCUGGCGGCAGGCCUAACACAUGCAAGUCGAACGAUCCUUCGGGAUAGUGGCGGACGGGUGAGUAACACGUGGGAACGUGCCUUUUGGUUCGGAACAACUCAGGGAAACUUGAGCUAAUACCGGAUGUGCCCUUCGGGGGAAAGAUUUAUCGCCAUUAGAGCGGCCCGCGUCUGAUUAGCUAGUUGGUGGGGUAAAGGCCUACCAAGGCGACGAUCGGUAGCUGGUCUGAGAGGAUGAUCAGCCACAUUGGGACUGAGACACGGCCCAAACUCCUACGGGAGGCAGCAGUGGGGAAUCUUGCGCAAUGGGCGAGAGCCUGACGCAGCCAUGCCGCGUGAAUGAUGAAGGUCUUAGGAUUGUAAAAUUCUUUCACCGGGGACGAUAAUGACGGUACCCGGAGAAGAAGCCCCGGCUAACUUCGUGCCAGCCGCCGCGGUAA
rnacentral:rRNA from 1 species